AUUGAACGCUGGCGGCAGGCCUAACACAUGCAAGUCGAGCGCGAGGCGGACGGGAGAGUAAUGUCUGUGACACUGCUCGCUGGAGGGGGUUACCUACCGGACACGGUAGCUAAUACUGCCUACCUUCGGCUGUGCCCAGAUGGGAUUAGAUUGUAGGUGGGGCAACGGCACACCAAGGCGACGAACCCUUACUGGUCUGAGAGGAUGACCAGGCACACUGGAACUGAGCCACGGUCCAGACUCCUACGGGAGGCAGCAGUGGGGAAUAUUGCACAAUGGGCGCAAGCCUGAUCCAGCCAUGCCGAGUGUAUGAAGAAGGCCUUCGGGUUGUAGAGGACUUUCAGCUAGGAGGCGUUACUAGCAGAAUAAGCACCGGCUAACUCCGUGCCAGCAGCCGCGGUAAUAC
rnacentral:rRNA from 1 species